rnacentral:rRNA from 1 species
AUGGAAGGGCCAUCGCUCAACGGAUAAAAGGUACUCCGGGGAUAACAGGCUGAUACCGCCCAAGAGUUCAUAUCGACGGCGGUGUUUGGCACCUCGAUGUCGGCUCAUCACAUCCUGGGGCUGAAGUAGGUCCCAAGGGUAUGGCUGUUCGCCAUUUAAAGUGGUACGCGAGCUGGGUUUAGAACGUCGUGAGACAGUUCGGUCCCUAUCUGCCGUGGGCGCUGGAGAACUGAGGGGGGCUGCUCCUAGUACGAGAGGACCGGAGUGGACGCAUCACUGGUGUUCGGGUUGUCAUGCCAAUGGCACUGCCCGGUAGCUAAAUGCGGAAGAGAUAAGUGCUGAAAGCAUCUAAGCACGAAACUUGCCCCGAGAUGAGUUCUCCCUGACUCCCUGAGAGUCCUGAAGGAACGUUGAAGACGACGACGUUGAUAGGCCGGGUGUGUAAGCGCAGCGAUGCGUUGAGCUAACCGGUACUAAUGAACCGUGAGG